rnacentral:rRNA from 1 species
GACGAACGCUGGCGGCGUGCUUAACACAUGCAAGUCGAACGGAAAGGCCCUGCUUUUGUGGGGUGCUCGAGUGGCGAACGGGUGAGUAACGCGUGAGUAACCUGCCCUGGACUUUGGGAUAACUUCAGGAAACUGGGGCUAAUACCGGAUAGGAGCUCCUGCUGCAUGGUGGGGGUUGGAAAGUUUCGGCGGUUGGGGAGGGACUCGCGGCUUAUCAGCUUGUUGGUGGGGUAGUGGCUUACCAAGGCUUUGACGGGUAGCCGGCCUGAGAGGGUGACCGGCCACAUUGGGACUGAGAUACGGCCCAGACUCCUACGGGAGGGAGCAGUGGGGAAUAUUGCACAAUGGGCGGAAGCCUGAUGCAGCAACGCCGCGUGCGGGAUGACGGCCUUCGGGUUGUAAACCGCUUUCGCCUGUGACGAAGCGUGAGUGACGGUAAUGGGUAAAGAAGCACCGGCUAACUACGUG